rnacentral:rRNA from 1 species
UACGUAGGGACCGAGCGUUGUCCGGAUUCAUUGGGCGUAAAGAGCUCGUAGGCGGUCUGUCGCGUCGAAUGUGAAAACCCGGGGCUCAACUCCGGGCUUGCAUUCGAUACGGGCAGGCUAGAGUUCGGUAGGGGAGUCUGGAAUUCCUGGUGUAGCGGUGAAAUGCGCAGAUAUCAGGAGGAACACCGGUGGCGAAGGCGGGACUCUGGGCCGAUACUGACGCUGAGGAGCGAAAGCGUGGGGAGCGAACAGG